UACUUAAAUAAAUUUACUCAUAAAUCCACCUUCCCCCAAUUUUUAAAGUUAGGAUCCGUAUUUUUAUUAAAAAUUGUAGCUCACCGCUACCUUCCUAUAAACUGCACCUUGACCUGAAGUAAAAAAAAUAUCUUUCUUGAAAACAUUCUUCUAAAGUAAUCUGACAACGGCGGUAUACAAGCUUUACCAAAGAAGGUAAGAUAAAAUGGGGAUUAUCAAUUAUAGGGCAAGCUCCUCUAUUAGGAUGGGGUGCCGCCAAAAUCUUUGGGUUUGAAGAACAACUUUUAC
rnacentral:rRNA from 1 species